CGGGGGGGGCGGCUACACAUGCAAGUCGAGCGGUAGCACAGAGAGCUUGCUCUCGGGUGACGAGCGGCGGACGGGUGAGUAAUGUCUGGGAAACUGCCUGAUGGAGGGGGAUAACUACUGGAAACGGUAGCUAAUACCGCAUAAUGUCGCAAGACCAAAGUGGGGGACCUUCGGGCCUCAUGCCAUCAGAUGUGCCCAGAUGGGAUUAGCUAGUAGGUGGGGUAACGGCUCACCUAGGCGACGAUCCCUAGCUGGUCUGAGAGGAUGACCAGCCACACUGGAACUGAGACACGGUCCAGACUCCUACGGGAGGCAGCAGUGGGGAAUAUUGCACAAUGGGCGCAAGCCUGAUGCAGCCAUGCCGCGUGUGUGAAGAAGGCCUUCGGGUUGUAAAGCACUUUCAGCGGGGAGGAAGGCGUUAAGGUUAAUAACCUUGGCGAUUGACGUUACCCGCAGAAGAAGCACCGGCUAACUCCGUGCCAGCAGCCGCGGUAAUACGGAGGGUGCAAGCGUUAAUCGGAAUUACUGGGCGUAAAGCGCACGCAGGCGGUCUGUCAAGUCGGAUGUGAAAUCCCCGGGCUCAACCUGGGAACUGCAUUCGAAACUGGCAGGCUAGAGUCUUGUAGAGGGGGGUAGAAUUCCAGGUGUAGCGGUGAAAUGCGUAGAGAUCUGGAGGAAUACCGGUGGCGAAGGCGGCCCCCUGGACAAAGACUGACGCUCAGGUGCGAAAGCGUGGGGAGCAAACAGGAUUAGAUACCCUGGUAGUCCACGCCGUAAACGAUGUCGAUUUGGAGGUUGUGCCCUUGAGGCGUGGCUUCCGGAGCUAACGCGUUAAAUCGACCGCCUGGGGAGUACGGCCGCAAGGUUAAAACUCAAAUGAAUUGACGGGGGCCCGCACAAGCGGUGGAGCAUGUGGUUUAAUUCGAUGCAACGCGAAGAACCUUACCUGGUCUUGACAUCCACAGAACUUUCCAGAGAUGGAUUGGUGCCUUCGGGAACUGUGAGACAGGUGCUGCAUGGCUGUCGUCAGCUCGUGUUGUGAAAUGUUGGGUUAAGUCCCGCAACGAGCGCAACCCUUAUCCUUUGUUGCCAGCGGUCCGGCCGGGAACUCAAAGGAGACUGCCAGUGAUAAACUGGAGGAAGGUGGGGAUGACGUCAAGUCAUCAUGGCCCUUACGACCAGGGCUACACACGUGCUACAAUGGCAUAUACAAAGAGAAGCGACCUCGCGAGAGCAAGCGGACCUCAUAAAGUAUGUCGUAGUCCGGAUUGGAGUCUGCAACUCGACUCCAUGAAGUCGGAAUCGCUAGUAAUCGUAGAUCAGAAUGCUACGGUGAAUACGUUCCCGGGCCUUGUACACACCGCCCGUCACACCAUGGGAGUGGGUUGCAAAAGAAGUAGGUAGCUUAACCUUCGGGAGGGCGCUUACCACUUUGGAUUCCCU
rnacentral:rRNA from 1 species